UACAGAGGUCUCAAGCGUUGUUCGGAUUCAUUGGGCGUAAAGGGUGCGUAGGCGGCGCGGUAAGUCGGGUGUGAAAUCUCGGGAGCUUAACUCCGAAAACUGCAUUCGAUACUGCCGUGCUUGAGGACUGGAGAGGAGACUGGAAUUUACGGUGUAGCGGUGAAAUGCGUAGAUAUCGUAAGGAAGACCAGUGGCGAAGGCGGGGUCUCGUGGACAGUUCCUGACGCUGAGGCACGGAAGGCCCAGGGGGAGCAAAACGGGG
rnacentral:rRNA from 1 species